rnacentral:lncRNA from 1 species
UCAAUUCUCCUCUCAAAAUUCAUCCCUAGAUCUGGUAAAACAACUGGCGGCCCUCUCAUUCUCUUGGCUCUCCUCCCCGCGUUUCAACCCGAACCGAAGGAAGAUGAAUAAAAAUCACAACCUUGCCAUCUGAUUAGCGAUAGUCUUCUUCCAUCCUAGACUUUAAUCGGAGGUCUGAAAGCCAAUUAAGGUCUGUUGUGAUUGAGGUGUUAGAAUAUAAUUUGUGGAUGGGUGCAUACAUUAAGAAUGGUAGUAAAGAUAAUUAUGCUCAUGGUGGUGGUAGUGAUGGUGGUUGUGGUCUUUGUGGUGGAAAGAUAAAGCAAGUUGCAUAAGGGAAACACAUUGAUAGUGACAUUGUUAUCGAUCUUGAUCUUAGUGGAAAGAUAAAGCUACGGAUGCAAGGCGUAAAGUACCGGAUAAAGGAUACAAUUUUGAUAUCCUAUGUGAAUUUCUACCUGAUGGGAUGCCCCUUGAGAAAUGGAAACGAACGUGGCUGACAAACAAGUGGGUAAAACAAUUGGAUACAAGAAAGUAUUCCUACAGACCCACGCCACUAAGAAGUGAAAAAAGUGUUACAAGAUCAGGAGAUGAGCGAAAAUGAUUUUGAUUCAUUAGAGUUUGUUACCAACCAUGCAAAAUGUUCAUAUGCCGUGUACACGUUACAAGUAAAAAAGUUGUAUGGGGACAAGGAUUGCGAUGAUUUAGCCGUGUAGUAGAGUCUGCUUCUUGAGUGUAAGGGUCGUAAGAUGUUCGGCAUAGGAUCUUCUGCUCCUGUUUUUGUGGUGAUUAGAAAACCAUCUUCCAGAACUUGCAGGUCAUACGAUGAUGCCUCGACAGUCGCAUGAGCUUCAAAAAGUUCAAGCGGAAUUAGAAAGAGAGCGAGAGGCCCGACAAAACAUAGAAUCCCAUUUCGAACAAUUUCAACAAGAGCGCGAAAAAGAGCGGGCCGACCAAGCGGCAUGGCAAAAAACUAUGGAAGCCAAGCUGAAAACAUCGGAAAUAAGUAAAAACUCUGGUCUUGUUAAGUAUUGGAUUAUUAAAGGUCGGAUUAGUGCUUUUAAUUAGUAUUUUUUGUGCGUUUUGGAAUGUUUUAAAAUUUUCGGAAUGUUUGGAAUGCGUGGGAAUGUUGUUUUAAUAUUUUUGGAAUGUUUUAGAAUUUUGCUGC